CAAUAGCGUAUAUUAAAGUUGUUGCAGUUAAAAAGCUCGUAGUUGGAUUUCUGGUAGGAGCGACCGUGCCGAACUUGAUUGUUCGAGUAUUGUGUUGUCUUCAGCCAUCCUCGUGGAGAACUUUUCUAACAUUACCUUGUUGGGAUUGGGACCCGCGUCGUUUACUGUGAAAAAAUUAGAGUGUUUAAAGCAGGCAUUAGCUUGAAUACAUUAGCAUGGAAUAAUAAGAUAGGACUUUGGUACUAUUUUGUUGGUUUGCAUACCAAAUUAAUGAUCAACAGGAACAGUUUGAGGAUAUUCGUAUGAACAUGUCAGAGGUGAAAUUCUUGGAUUUUGAUCAGACGAACUACUGCGAAAGCAUUUAUCAAGGAUGGUUUCAUUAA
rnacentral:rRNA from 1 species